rnacentral:lncRNA from 1 species
AUUUCAUAUAACAUAAAUAUAUAUACUUUUACGAAUAUCACAGGUUAUAUAAUACAGAAAUAUAAUAAAUAAUACCUUUAACUGUUAUUAACUAAGUAGCAAGUAAAAUGUAUUGCAAGUAGAAAAUGUUCAAUGUUUACAUUCUAUGAAAUUGACAUCGGGUGUCACGUGUACUUUUACAAAUGCUUGACCUUUGUCUAUACACUAAAUCGGAAUGUGAUAUGUAAUUUACGUGUAUCUGUGUAUUUGUAUUCAAUACUGGUUUACCUUACAAACGGUAUAUAAUAAAUGUUACAUCUACAUUUAUUAAUA